rnacentral:rRNA from 1 species
AGUGGCGAACGGGUGAGUAAUGCAUCGGAACGUACCGUGUAGUGGGGGAUAACGUAGCGAAAGUUACGCUAAUACCGCAUACGCCCUGAGGGGGAAAGUGGGGGACCGCAAGGCCUCACGCUAUAUGAGCGGCCGAUGUCGGAUUAGCUAGUUGGUAGGGUAAAGGCCUACCAAGGCGACGAUCCGUAGCGGGUCUGAGAGGAUGAUCCGCCACACUGGGACUGAGACACGGCCCAGACUCCUACGGGAGGCAGCAGUGGGGAAUUUUGGACAAUGGGCGCAAGCCUGAUCCAGCCAUGCCGCGUGAGUGAAGAAGGCCUUCGGGUUGUAAAGCUCUUUCAGACGGAAAGAAAUCUCUCGGGAUAACACCCUGGGAGGAUGACGGUACCGUAAGAAGAAGCACCGGCUAACUACGUGCCAGCAGCCGCGGUAAUACGUAGGGUGCGAGCGUUAAUCGGAAUUACUGGGCGUAAAGCGUGCGCAGGCGGUGAUGUAAGACAGAUGUGAAAUCCCCGGGCUCAACCUGGGAACUGCGUUUGUGACUGCAUCACUCGAGUACGGCAGAGGGGAGGUGGAAUUCCGCGUGUAGCAGUGAAAUGCGUAGAUAUGCGGAGGAACACCGAUGGCGAACGCAGCCUCCUGGCCAGUACUGACGCUCAUGCACGAAAGCGUGG